UACGUAGGGUGCGAGCGUUAAUCGGAAUUACUGGGCGUAAAGCGUGCGUAGGCGGUUCGUUAAGUCAGCUGUGAAAGCCCCGGGCUCAACCUGGGAAUUGCGGUUGAAACUGGCGAACUAGAAUCUGGCAGAGGGGGGUGGAAUUCCACGUGUAGCAGUGAAAUGCGUAGAUAUGUGGAGGAAUACCGAUGGCGAAGGCAGCCCCCUGGGAUAACACUGACGCUCAUGCACGAAAGCGUGGGGAGCAAACAGG
rnacentral:rRNA from 1 species